UACGUAGGGGGCAAGCGUUGUCCGGAUUUAUUGGGCGUAAAGAGCGUGUAGGCGGCCAUGUAGGUCCGUUGUGAAAACUCGAGGCUCAACCUCGAGACGCCGAUGGAAACCAUGUGGCUAGAGUCCGGAAGAGGAGAGUGGAAGUUCCUGGUGUAGCGGUGAAAUGCGCAGAUAUCAGGAAGAACACCCGUGGCUAAGGCGGCUCUCUAGUACGUGACUGACGCUGAGACGCGAAAGCGUGGGGAGCGAACAGG
rnacentral:rRNA from 1 species